rnacentral:rRNA from 1 species
GACGAACGCUGGCGGCGUGCUUAACACAUGCAAGUCGAACGGAAAGGCCUGCUUUCCCUUGUGGAUUGCGGGUACUCGAGUGGCGAACGGGUGAGUAACACGUGAGUGAUCUGCCCCCAACUUGGGUAUAAGCCUGGGAAACUGGGUCUAAUUCCCGAUAGGACUGCAGGGUGGUGCCUGUGGUGGAAAACGAUUUUCUAGUGGUUGGGGAUGAGCUCGCGGCCUAUCAGCUUGUUGGUGGGGUAAUGGCCUACCAAGGCGGCGACGGGUAGCCGGCCUGAGAGGGCGGACGGCCACAUUGUGACUGAGAUACGGCCCAGACUCCUACGGGAGGCAGCAGUGGGGAAUAUUGCACAAUGGGCGGAAGCCUGAUGCAGCGACGCCGCGUGGGGGAUGACGGCCUUCGGGUUGUAAACUCCUUUCGACCGCGAGGAAGCCACCUGGUUGGAAGGGUGGUGACGGUAGUGGUAGAAGAAGCACCGGCUAACUACGUG